rnacentral:rRNA from 1 species
CCUACGGGAGGCAGCAGUGGGGAAUAUUGCACAAUGGGGGAAACCCUGUUGCAGCGACGCCGCGUGAGUGAAGAAGUAAUUCUUUAUGUAAAGCUCUAUCAGCAGGGAAGACAAUGACGGUACCUGAGUAAGAAGCCCCGGCUACCUACGUGCCAGCAGCCGCGGUCAUACGUAGGGGGCAAGCGUUAUCCGGAUUUACUGGGUGUAAAGGGAGCGUAGACGGCAGUGCAAGUCUGGAGUGAAAGGCGGGGGCUCAACCCCCGGACUGCUCUGGAAACUGUACGGCUGGAGUGCAGGAGAGGUAAGUGGAAUUCCUAGUGUAGCGGUGAAAUGCGUAGAUAUUAGGAGGAACACCAGUGGCGAAGGCGGCUUACUGGACUGUAACUGACGUUGAGGCUCGAAAGCGUGGGGAGCAAACAGGAUUAGAUACCCUGGUAGUC